UGUUAAUAUGGGUUUUGUUCUGUAGGGUUAGCCCAGCCCGCAUCCAUUUUUUUAACCCGAAGCCCGUUACAUUUUAUGUGGGUUAAAAUAGGGCCGUCUAAUAUAACACACGGGCUAACCCUAAAACCCUUUUUUUAUGAAAACAAAUCACUGAAAGGCGUUGUUUUAAUUUUUUUUCUCCAGUUCUUCAUCUUUCCUCGACGAUUCUAAAUCGAGAGUUCCGCUUCAUGUGAUCUCAUUUCUUCUCCAGUUCUCCAUUGCCUGAUUGUAAUCCGGAGACACGAUUUCGUCUCCAGUUCUCCAGUCAUCGCCCUCCUCUCUCGCGAUCCUCUGUGUUGUGUCCGUCGAGCAAUCUCUUCUUCUCCUUGACAUCGAGUGGAGUCACGUAGCCAAGUUUGGAGCUUGGAGGAUACAUGUAAUUGUAAAGUCUUCACGAGACUUGUAGUGAAUUAUAUGAAUAAAAGUAUUUAAACUUUGUUUUUUUUUAUAUUUUGAAUUUGGGGACAAAAAUGAAUUAACACUUUUUCUAUUUAUAUAAUAAUAUCUUGAGUUUUUAAAUA